rnacentral:lncRNA from 1 species
UGGUCUCCUGGGAACACCAUAACAAAAUACUACAAACUGGGUGGCUUAACCAGCAGAAAUGCAUUGUCUCACAAGUCUGCAAGGUAGAAGUCAAAAAUCAAGGUAUUGGCAAGGUUUGUUUACUUCUGAGGGUUGUGAGGGAGGAUCUGUUCUUGGUCUCUUUCCUUGCUUAGAGAUGGCUGUCUGCUCCCUCUAUGACCUCCUGUUAUCUUUCCUCUAAGCACUUCUGAGUCCAAAUUUUCUCUUUAGAUAAGGACACCAAUCAUAUACUGGAUGAAGGUCCAUUCUAAUAACCUCAUUUUAACUGGAUUACGUCUACAAAGGUCCUAUCUUCAAAGGAGGUCACAUUCUGAGAUUCUGGGGGUUAGGACCCUACAUAUGAAUCUUUCAGAGACACCUUUCAAUCCAUCACAAUGAAUGUCUCUGGAGCUGGUUGAACUAAAGCUCUGGGGCAGCAUCUGGAAGCACCAUAGAGUUGGAUUUCAAAAGAAAGUUAAAAAUCUAAAGUAAAAGGUCUCCAUCAGCCACUUCCCUUCUCAGAGCCUCAGGUUCCUUCUCUGUAGAAUAAGGGAUCUGGACAGGGCCUCCAAAACAGCCCCGCUUCCUUCUAUUCAGUUCUAGCACUGUGCCAGGGCUGAAGUGACAGAGGGAGGAUAAUAGUUC